rnacentral:rRNA from 1 species
CGUAGGUAACCUGCCUUGUAGCGGGGGAGUAACUAUUGGAAACGAUAGCUAAUACCGCAUAACAAUAGGUGACACAUGUCAUUUAUUUGAAAGGGGCAAUUGCUCCACUACAAGAUGGACCUGCGUUGUAUUAGCUAGUAGGUGAGGUAACGGCUCACCUAGGCGACGAUACAUAGCCGACCUGAGAGGGUGAUCGGCCACACUGGGACUGAGACACGGCCCAG